ensembl:processed_transcript
ACUUUUCCCAUGGUUACAAACAAACAGAAAUGCUUCCCAGAAUCCUCCGAGCUGCUCCUGGUUGCUGUUACUACCGAUUGCGGAAUGCAGCAAAAAGAAUGUCAUCUUUUAAUCCCUGUGAAAUGGUAGUUGGGUCAACAGCGAAGAGUUCCUGAGGUAAAUUCCAAAGUUCUGCAAGAUAAUUGAAAUGUAUCCAACCGUCAGGAUUAAGCUUCUAAACUUUCAGAUAAACUCCCAAUGCCAAAUUGAGGCGAUGCAUGCUAAACUCAGAAACUAAAAGCAAAAAUCUCCAUGUUGAGAAAUGAGGUACGAAAGCAAAGCAGGCAGGCCUUCACUCUAAACAGGGUUCCUGAUUUCAGUCCCAGCCAUUUUUAAACCCUGUGACUUUCUGCUAAAGAAAAGGAACCAAAAGUCUCUGCCUCCAAGGGAUUCUUGGAAAGUGACAGAAUGCAUUUAGUGUCCAAGAAAAUGACACCUCGGAAGGGUCCAGUCAUCCGCACACACAGUAUUUACUCACCUGAAUACUUCUCAGUCACCUUUUGUAAACGGUACUGCUUGUAAAAGGCACUGGACGUAUCGACUUCGUAUCCCAUUGCCUCGUACAGUUUCAGUUGCCAUUCAAACCCCUCAUUCACCCUGCAAUGAUAAUAAAGCAGCAAGUGUGAAGUUCAGAUUCUUUCAAUUAAGAGAACAUGAAGAAAGGAGAAGUGGUUACAGCCAAAAAGGAAGACCCUAAGUUGGUCUCUGGCCAAUGAAAGUGCAGGGACACACACAUGCACACACCCCAUACACACAUAUAUGUGCACACACUCAUACACCAUAUACACAAACACACACUCAAAGAAAGAGGAAAAAUCAUUACUGGGACUCCAGAGGACUCACUUAGCCUCUGGCUUGACCAUGUGGAGAAUGUCGUAGGCUUUUUCAAAGGUAAGCUGGUCGGUCUUCAUUAUAAAAGCCAUCACUACGGCAACACUGCGACUGACUCCUGCAUGACUGAAAAAAGAGACCUUCAAAAUAAAACGGCAAAUAGCAGCAAUUAAAAAACCACGCCAGUCUGGGCAUGGUGGCGCACGCUUUUAAUCCCAGCACUCAGCAGGCAGAGGCAGGAGGCCUCUGAGUUUGAGGCCAGUCUGGUCUACACAGUGAGUCCAGAAUGGCCAGGGCUACACAGAGAAACCCUAUCUCAAUCAAUCAAUCAAUCAAUCAAUAAACAAAAGACAAAGCCCAGCUGCCUGUUAAUGGUAAAGUUUAGGUCAUGACAGUCCCUGAGUGCUGGUAUUACAAGUGAGGUGCAGCGUGCCCAGCUCAUUUCUAUUUUCAUUCAAAUUAGUCCACUGCCUCUUAAAUACAGUCAACACACAAAAGGAGUCAAUUGUUGCCUUAUUCCUUUUUAAUUCGGAACAAUAUGGAUGCAUUAUCUAUUCAACAAGAACUGCCUUAUAAUGUUCCUACUGUUGUCAUGGCUCCUUGGCGCUUAACUUCAAGUUGUUCCAGAUCUGAUUCUGUCCUCCUCAUCACUACCUCCUGUCCUUGUGUAAAUCUUUAGAACAGCUGGCACACAGAAAGUGUCCAACAAAGUAGUUCGGUUGGACUCCAACAGGACCACUCUGGAAUCCCCAAACACCUACUAAGAUUUCCUAGCCUUUUGGUUUUGCUGCUGUAUACCUGUCAAUGUCC